UCCUGGCUUCAAGCGAUUCUCCUGCCUCAGCCUCCUGAGUAGCUGGGAGUAUAGGCACGUACCACCACACCCAGCUAAUUUUUUGUAUUUUUACUAGAGAUGGGUUUCACAGUGUUAGCCAGGAUGGUUUCGAUCUCCUGACCUCAUGAUCCGCCCGCCUCGGCCUCCCAAAGUGCUGAGAUUACAGGCGUGAGCCACUGUGCCCGGCCUCAAAAUCUUAAGAAAAGGUUCUUUUGGUGCAUGGAGUUUUACAUGGAAUAAAUUAGUGCCUCUGCAAUUUAAAUAUUUUUUACACAGAUUUGAUGCUGUGCAAAUGCCCUCUCCCCUUUUAGGUGUUGCUUGUUCAGUAUCUCAAGCCCAGAAAGAUGAAUUAAUCCUUGAAGGAAAUGACAUUGAGCUUGUUUCAAAUUCAGCGGCUUUGAUUCAGCAAGCCACAACAGUUAAAAACAAGGAUAUCAGGAAAUUUUUGGAUGGUAUCUAUGUCUCUGAAAAAGGAACUGUUCAGCAGGCUGAUGAAUAAGAUCUAAGAGUUACCUGGCUACAGAAAGAAGAUGCCAGAUGACACUUAAGACCUACUUGUGAUAUUUAAAUGAUGCAAUAAAAGACCUAUUGAUUUGG
rnacentral:lncRNA from 1 species